CAUGAAGCUGGAAUCGCUAGUAAUCGCAGGUCAGCAUACUGCGGUGAGUACGUUCCCGGGUCUUGUACACACCGCCCGUCACACCAUGGGAGCCGGAAAUGCCCGAAGCCAGUGACCCAACCUUAGGGAGGGAGCUGUCGAAGGUGGAGCCGGUAACUGGGGUGAAGUCGUAACAAGGUAAC
rnacentral:rRNA from 1 species